UGCAGUCGAGCGGUAACAUUUCUAGCUUGCUAGAAGAUGACGAGCGGCGGACGGGUGAGUAAUGCUUGGGAAUAUGCCUUGAGGUGGGGGACAACCAUUGGAAACGAUGGCUAAUACCGCAUAAUGUCUUAGGACCAAAGGGGGCUUCGGCUCUCGCCUUUAGAUUAGCCCAAGUGGGAUUAGCUAGUUGGUGAGGUAAAGGCUCACCAAGGCGACGAUCCCUAGCUGGUUUGAGAGGAUGAUCAGCCACACUGGAACUGAGACACGGUCCAGACUCCUACGGGAGGCAGCAGUGGGGAAUAUUGCACAAUGGGCGCAAGCCUGAUGCAGCCAUGCCGCGUGUGUGAAGAAGGCCUUAGGGUUGUAAAGCACUUUCAGUUGUGAGGAAAGGUUAGUAGUUAAUACCUGCUAGCUGUGACGUUAGCAACAGAAGAAGCACCGGCUAACUCCGUGCCAGCAGCCGCGGUAAUACGGAGGGUGCGAGCGUUAAUCGGAAUUACUGGGCGUAAAGCGUACGCAGGCGGUUUGUUAAGCGAGAUGUGAAAGCCCCGGGCUCAACCUGGGAACCGCAUUUCGAACUGGCCAACUAGAGUGUGAUAGAGGGUGGUAGAAUUUCGGGUGUAGCGGUGAAAUGCGUAGAUAUCUGAAGGGAUACCGAUGGCGAAGGCAGCCACCUGGGUCAACACUGACGCUCAUGUAC
rnacentral:rRNA from 1 species